UCGAGGAUCUUCGGCAAUGGGCGCAAGCCUGACCGAGCGACGCCGCGUGUGCGAUGAAGGCCUUCGGGUUGUAAAGCACUGUCGAGGGGGAGGAAGGCGCAAGCUUGACCUAUCCCUGGAGGAAGCACGGGCUAAGUUCGUGCCAGCAGCCGCGGUAAGACGAACCGUGCGAACGUUGUUCGGAAUCACUGGGCUUAAAGGGCGCGUAGGCGGGCAGCCAAGUUCGGGGUGAAAUCCUUCGGCUUAACCGGAGAACGGCCUCGGAUACUGGUUGCCUUGAGGGAGGUAGGGGCAUGUGGAACUUCCGGUGGAGCGGUGAAAUGCGUUGAUAUCGGAAGGAACGCCGGUGGCGAAAGCGACAUGCUGGCCCUCUUCUGACGCUGAGGCGCGAAAGCCAGGGGAGCGAACGGGAUUAGAUACCCCUGUAGUCC
rnacentral:rRNA from 1 species